UAAAGGGGAGGGGUACGACAGCGCACGUAUUAGGGAAACGCAUGCGCAGUCUCUGUCGGCCUCGUGAGCGGCCGCCGCUCGUCGCAGUUGCGCUGCAGCGCCGCCACAAGACUGAGGAAGGAACUGCAUAGCAAAAAAGGAAAAAAAGGCGUAAGAGUAUGGACUGUAUCAGGAAAGGGUCAACAAGAUAAAAGGGGCAUUGGAUUGCUUUCACUGGCUUUCUUAAUCCUAAAGAACUUUGAGAAGAGAGCAAGUGAAAAUUGAGAGGUGUUGGGUACCUCUGCUUUUGCAUCUUGUUUAGGGACUGGCAGAUCUGUCACAGGUGGUAGACCGAGGACUUUGAAUGGGACUUUGAGAGCUGGACACCAGGUUUCCUCAAUGUAGCCAAUCUGCAGUAGAUAAGGACCCUCUGCUACACUCAGAUGGCCUUCAAGUCUACCCACUGAAACCAAUGAGUGCAUGGCACUUAAAUUCCUUUGGUGAGAUGAAAAUAAGCGUGCCUGCAAUGGUGUGAGUUGGUACAACUGCAUAUCUUUGGAAGCUGCAAUUUGGAGUGGCUGUUUUUAAAUGCCAUCCCUUAUGCAACACAGAGCCUCCAGAUUUCAGUUCUUGUAUGCCUCUUUGCAAGUGAUGACAUGUGCCGGUGCUACAGUGGGAAGAAGAUGGGGAAGUCUGUCCCAUUCAAGCAACAGUCUUUCAUUCAAUU